UUCCGAUGAGAUGGAGCAGAAAGGCAGGCAGGAGCUCAACAAUUUGGAAUUUUAAAGGCAGGGUAUACUGGUGAAUUCCAUAUAGACUUUCUAGAUAGGAUUUGGAUAUACAAUACAAGUAGGGCUGGGGUGGGGAGUGGUCAGAGCUGAUGAAUCAAGAUUCAAUCCAUCUCACACAGGGUCCCAAGCUCCUCCAAAGUAUUUUCUGGCUCUCCCCCUUCCCAGAAGGGGUUUCCCUGGUCUGGGGAGGUGGGUGCUGGUGUGGACACAACAGACAGCCACGUGCAGGCCAGAUUCCCAUGGCCCAGAUCUUCUAGGAAGCAGGCUGCACUCCCAACUUUUAAAAUCACAAAGCAGAUUCCCAGCCUGGAAAACUCAUUGCGGGUAGGCUGGUAGGGAGAAACAAAAGACCGGGCGUGGUGGCUCACGCCUGUAAUCCCAGCACCUUGGGAGGCCGAGGCGGGUAGAUCACAAGGUCAAGAGAUGGAGACCAUCCUGGCCAACAUGGUGAAACCCUGUCUCUACUAAAAAUACAAAAAUUAGCUGGACGUGGUGGCACGUGCCUGUAGUCCCAGCUACUCGGGAGGCAGAGGCAGGAGAAACACUUGAACCCAGGAGGUGGAGGUUGCAGUGAGCCAAGAUCACGCCACUGCACUCCAGCCUGGUGACAGAGCAAGACUCUGUCUCAAAAAAAAAAAAAAAAAAAAAGCAUCAGGAACUUGUCACCCUGCCCUGGACUUCCACCACACUUUAUAGCCAACAUCACAUCACACCAUCUCUCCUCAAGGCUGGCAGCCCCCCUCCAGGGCACGGAUCACACGUGGUUUAUCUCCAUGUUCCCAGAUCCCAGCACACAGCUAGCAGGGCAGUGAUGACUGCAGCCUGGAUUGGUUAUGAAUGCAAAAGAGGCAAGCAAGGAAAAGCCGGAGGACGGGCCUGUAGUAGCUGUGCCACUGGUGAAGUCAGACUCAAGAGGCCUCUCCCCAGCUCUGAGCCCCCAUAGUCCCUGGAGUGCACCCAGGAUCCCACUCUUGCUCUUGAUCGAUCUCCAUGCUGAGACUGCUGUUAGCAAUUGCUUUAUUUGUCAAUGCCACCAUUUAUGAAGCAUUUGCAGUGUGAA